ensembl:lncRNA
GUGAGCACAGUUGAGGAACAGCAGGGCCCUGAUAAGUGAUCAAAGACAGCUGACCUCUGCUUUCUCAGCGAUACAGUCUAAGACAGCAGGAAAGGGAACCCUUGAACCAUUACCGUGACUUGGUGGAGGAAAAUUCUCUAUAGGGAUCAAUCAACAAGUUGCUCUAAAAGAGGCAGAAGCACCACUCUGAAAUUCUUUAGUUCCUUAAAAUCCCCAUCCCCCCUCCUUUUUGCACAAGUAGUUCCCUCUGCCUGGAAGACUCUCUCCUUCCUAUCCUAUCUUACCUCUUAAAAUGCCUUUUAGUUUAGCCACUGAUCCUUUACACUUCAGCCCACCAUCACUUCUUGUAAGGCUUCUCUGACUUCUGCCUGUCUUCCCUCCCCGGAAACUUUGGGAGAUGCUGUCGCUCUGUACAACUGCAGCCCCUCAGACUCCCUCUCCCACAGCUCCAGAUAUUGCUAUAGUUGUCUAUUGAGUGGUCUGUCUUCCCUUACAGACAGUGCAGUGGUAAACUCAGGAGUCGUCUUUGCAUUUUACAGCUGUGGCAUCUGAGGCACACUCAGGGCUCAGUUCCUCAUCCACAGAAUGGUCUUGGUUGCAGCAUGCGGGACCUCUUAGUUGAGCAACGUGGGAUCAAGUUCCCUGAUCAGAGAUUGAAACCUGGGCUCCCUCACUGGGGAUGCAGAGACUUAGGUUCUAGACCACCAGGGAAGUCCCUGCAGGACCACUUUCAAACAGUCCACAGGAUAGUUCUUGAACCUCAGUGAUCAUCAAAGCUACCCGCAGAGAUUCUUAUUUAAUUGGGAUUUUAAGUAAUUUUGAGUGAGGAUUUAACCCUUAGUUUCCUCAUAUGAAAAACGGGAUUAUAACUAUAAUCCUUCAUAGGGGGUAAGGAUUAAAAUAACCUCUGUGAAGUGUCUCACAGUCAACUUAGGUUCCGUUUGCUUCUCUCAUUUUCUCUACAGUUUAGAGG